AUUGAACGCUGGCGGCAUGCCUUACACAUGCAAGUCGAACGGCAGCACGGGGCAACCUGGUGGCGAGUGGCGAACGGGUGAGUAAUGCAUCGGAACGUACCUUUCAGUGGGGGAUAACGUAGCGAAGUUACGCUAAUACCGCAUAUUCUGUGAGCAGGAAAGCAGGGGAUCGCAAGACCUUGCGCUGAUUGAGCGGCCGAUAUCAGAUUAGCUAGUUGGUGAGGUAAAGGCUCACCAAGGCGACGAUCUGUAGCGGGUCUGAGAGGAUGAUCCGCCACACUGGAACUGAGACACAGUCCAGACUCCUACGGGAGGCAGCAGUGGGGAAUUUUGGACAAUGGGGGCAACCCUGAUCCAGCCAUGCCGCGUGAGUGAAGAAGGCCUUCGGGUUGUAAAGCUCUUUCGGCCGGGAAGAAAUCGCACGGGCUAAUACCCUGUGUGGAUGACGGUACCGGAAUAAGAAGCACCGGCUAACUACGUGCCAGCCGCCGCCGUAAUAC
rnacentral:rRNA from 1 species